AUGAACGCUAGCUACAGGCUUAACACAUGCAAGUCGAGGGGAAACGACAUCGAAAGCUUGCUUUUGAUGGGCGUCGACCGGCGCACGGGUGAGUAACGCGUAUCCAACCUGCCCACCACUUGGGGAUAACCUUGCGAAAGUAAGACUAAUACCCAAUGAUGUCUCUAGAAGACAUCUGAAAGAGAUUAAAGAUUUAUCGGUGAUGGAUGGGGAUGCGUCUGAUUAGCUUGUUGGCGGGGUAACGGCCCACCAAGGCGACGAUCAGUAGGGGUUCUGAGAGGAAGGUCCCCCACAUUGGAACUGAGACACGGUCCAAACUCCUACGGGAGGCAGCAGUGAGGAAUAUUGGUCAAUGGACGAGAGUCUGAACCAGCCAAGUAGCGUGCAGGAUGACGGCCCUAUGGGUUGUAAACUGCUUUUAUAAGGGAAUAAAGUGAGUCUCGUGAGACUUUUUGCAUGUACCUUAUGAAUAAGGACCGGCUAAUUCCGUGCCAGCAGCCGCGGUAAUACGGAAGGUCCGGGCGUUAUCCGGAUUUAUUGGGUUUAAAGGGAGCGUAGGCCGGAGAUUAAGCGUGUUGUGAAAUGUAGACGCUCAACGUCUGCACUGCAGCGCGAACUGGUUUCCUUGAGUACGCACAAAGUGGGCGGAAUUCGUGGUGUAGCGGUGAAAUGCUUAGAUAUCACGAAGAACUCCGAUUGCGAAGGCAGCUCACUGGAGCGCAACUGACGCUGAAGCUCGAAAGUGCGGGUAUCGAACAGGAUUAGAUACCCUGGUAGUCCGCACGGUAAACGAUGGAUGCCCGCUGUUGGUCUGAAUAGGUCAGCGGCCAAGCGAAAGCAUUAAGCAUCCCACCUGGGGAGUACGCCGGCAACGGUGAAACUCAAAGGAAUUGACGGGGACCCGCACAAGCGGUGGAUGAUGUGGUUUAAUUCGAUGCAACGCGAAAAACCUUACCCACCUUUGACAUGGCAGGAAUCCUUUAGAGAUAGAGGAGUGCUCGAAAGAGAACCUGCACACAGGUGCUGCAUGGCUGUCGUCAGCUCGUGUCGUGAGAUGUUGGGUUAAGUGCCAUAACGAGCGCAACCCCUCUCCUUAGUUGCCAUCAGGUCAAGCUGGGCACUCUGGGGACACUGCCACCGUAAGGUGUGAGGAAGGUGGGGAUGACGUCAAAUCAGCACGGCCCUUACGUCCGGGGCUACACACGUGUUACAAUGGCAGGUACAGAGAGACGGUCCCUUGCAAAAUGGAUCAAAUCCUUAAAGCCUGUCUCAGUUCGGACUGGGGUCUGCAACCCGACCCCACGAAGCUGGAUUCGCUAGUAAUCGCGCAUCAGCCAUGGCGCGGUGAAUACGUUCCCGGGCCUUGUACACACCGCCCGUCAAGCCAUGAAAGCCGGGGGCGCCUAAAGUCCGUGACCGUAAGGAGCGGCCUAGGGCGAAACUGGUAAUUGGGGCU
rnacentral:rRNA from 1 species